GCAACAAAAACACAAGUUGCGGAAAAAGCUCAACAGCUCUGGCAGCAUCUGUGAAAAAAGAAAAAAAAUUAGAGUUAACGUUUCGUGUCCGGUGACCCUCAGAACAGCAACGUUCCGGCCGGUGUUUGCACGCAGGCGCAGCGUCUUUCUGACCGCCGUAAGCUGCUGAUUGCCGGUUUUGUCGGAGCUGUUAAAGGAACAAAGAAUAAGCUGCUGGGGAAAACAGUGAAGAGGCAACAUGUGGAUCAAAGUUAAACCUGGAUGGACAGUCGGAGACAAAAGGAUGCUGCUUUUUGUCAUUUACAUCAAUGGUUUGACUGUGAAUGUCGGAGGAAGGCUUUCUCCUACGCAGGGAAUCAGGGCCACGAUCAGGGCAUUUCUGGUUGCAGCAGCAGCGCGAGCGGGAGCUUGGAGCAGGGGCCUGUCGGGAAGCCGGGUCCCAAUGCACUGCCACCGAUGUUGGAAUUUGGGAUCUCGGGGUUUAUGCUCCCAUCCCAGAAUGUGAUUUUUGAAGUCCCGGUGGUCCCUCUGGAUUACCACACCUAGAGCCUGGAUGAAGACUUGGGACUGUGUGGGUUUGUACGUUUGGGUUGAGUCGGCUGAUGCGCAAAGGUGUGUUUUGGGUUCAUGUACGGGAUGGCCUUCCGGAGGAAGUACUGGGUGCGGGUAUUGUUACAGCAUUUAAAAGGCAGUUGGGUUGUUUAUGGUGUUGUGAAAUGCUGCUGCUGAUGAUCCUCGUAGAUUGUGGACACUGCUGUCACGGUGCGGUACGAGUGAAGUGAGUUAAUAUCGUUCCAAACAUGAGGCUGCUUUGUGCUGGAUGGUGUCAAGCUUAUUGAAUAUUGUUGGAGCUGCAUUCACCCAGACAAGUGAAGAGAAUUCCAAGACAGUGCUGACCUGUGCAGUGCAGAUGGACAGCAUGUAUUCUGUGGGAUGCUUUUGUUUUUAAAACUCCUUUUCAUUGCAAAAUAUCGUUUCGGUGUUUGGGAACAUUUAUUUUGUCCUGUCAAUGAUGAAUGGCCAGUUCUGGACAGAGAACUGUGCUUUAUUUUCUUGCAGAUUGAGAGUGGCCAGGCCUCUGCAUGUUCAGUUGUGAUUGUUUUCAAUCUGUGUUCUCCCAGCAAUUGCUAACGUGUGCAAUGAGAGCAAACAGUCAGUUUCCUGAGUGAAACGAGUCUUUUUUUUAAAUGUUCUGUGGACUGUGAUUGCUCACAAUUGUAUGUGUGCAAACUGCACUUGCUCAGUCCUGUGUGAGCAGUUGUUCCCAACCUGUGACCUGCAGUUGGUCAAUCCUGUGUUGCAAACGGCUUUUGUCUGUGUACAUGAGAGAUAACUGCACAGAGGCCGGUGUCCUAUCAUCAAAUCACCCUUUAUUUACCCUUGCUGAGUACACUGCCUAUGGCCAGCCAGCUCCGAGUCAUUCCCCUGAAUUGAGGAGAUUGUCAAUCCACUGUUUUCUUUUUCCUUUCGAAUCCCACAGUGGCAGAUAGUGGAAUUAGAAUUCAAUAAAAAUAAUCUGUAAUGAUGUGUCCAUUGUUGAUUAUCAGUUGAAAAACAAAAUCCCAACUCCUUCGCGAAUGUCCCUAAGGGAAGGAAAACUGACCAUGUCUGACCAAAAUGUGACUCCAGACCCACAACAAAAUGGUUGACUCGUAACUGUCCCUUAGCAAUUGCCCAAUGCAGUUAUCAACGGGCACUAAAUGCUGGUCCUUCCAGUGACACCCUCAUUCCACGAAUGAAGAAAUAAUAGGGUAUAUUUCCCUUCCCACCCUCUGCAAGCAUUGCAGCAAUUCGUACUGGUUUUGUAACAUCAUUCAAGCCCUUGCCACUCUCUAACGCUCUCACCACCUCCAGCUCCUUCAACUCUCCCUGGUCCUGUCAUCUCAUUGAGCCCCGACAAUGUUUCCUCUUGCAACUACACUCCUCUUGCAAGGAGCCCAUCUGCAGUCCCUUUAACACCUACUUCCAUAUAUGA